GAUGAACGCUGGCGGCGUGCCUAAUACAUGCAAGUCGAGCGAACAGACCAUGCGCUUGUUCCUCUGUCGUUAGCGGCGGACGGGUGAGUAACACGUGUAUAACCCACCUAUCUUUCUGGGAUCACUUCGGGAAACCGGCUCUAAUACCGGAUAAUAUCUUGAACCGCAUGGUUCAUUGGUGAAAGACGGCUUUGCUGUCUCUUAUCGAUGGAUCCCCGCUGUAUUAUCUAGUUGUUAGGGUAACGGCUUACCAAGGCUACGAUGCGUAGCCGAAGUGAGAGGGGGAUAGGCGACACGGGAACGGAGCCGGGGUCAAGGGUACUAAGGGAGGGAGCAGUAGGGAAUGUUAGGCAAUGGGCGAAAGCAUGACGGAGUAAGGCCGCGUGAGUGAUGAAGGUGUUCGGAUCGGAAAGAUCUGUUAUUAGGGAAGAACAGAUGUGGAAGUAAAUAUGCACGGAGUGACGGUAACGAAUCAGAAAGCAACGGCUAACUACGUG
rnacentral:rRNA from 1 species